rnacentral:rRNA from 1 species
UACGGAGGGUGCAAGCGUUAUCCGGAUUUACUGGGUUUAAAGGGUGCGUAGGUGGGUCUGUAAGUCAGUGGUGAAAAUCUCCGAGCUUAACUCGGAAACUGCCAUUGAUACUAUAGGUCUUGAAUUAUCUGGAGGUAAGCGGAAUAUGUCAUGUAGCGGUGAAAUGCUUAGAUAUGACAUAGAACACCAAUUGCGAAGGCAGCUUACUACGGAUUGAUUGACACUGAGGCACGAAAGCGUGGGAUCAAACAGG